rnacentral:lncRNA from 1 species
GUUGCUGCCUAGAGAAAGUGCCUUUGGCAUUUGUCAGGGUCACAGGGCAGAGGCAGCUCCAGGGGGGAUCUCUGACCCUUCCCAAGCAGUGAAAGUUGGGAAGUGUCUCCCCCCGCAGCUGUGGCUUCCAGCAGAGACCGGAGACUAGAACCAGCAGCACUUACAGAGAUUUAUAGCCCAUGGAAAAGAGCUUCUCAGCUCACAUGUUUACUUCGGAGAACUCUGUGGAGGCAUCAAGGGCCAGGGUCAACAUACACCACUGCAGCUUUGUCUCUCAAGCGUUUCGGGCCAUGUUAUGUGUUUGGAAGACAACAAUGGGGAGGAAAGGCUGUUUAUGUGGUUUUUGUAAAAUAUGCAGAAGCUAUGAAAAUAAGUGCUCUAUCAAUAAUAAAUGGAAUGGAAAAUAGAAGCAAACAAGUCAAAGAAAGAUGCGGUGGAAGCCACUGAGCCGGCCAGAGAAAGAGCAAGCUGAACGACCAUCAGAGGUUUGUCUUUGGCUCCAUUGCUAAGAGGAACAGCCUGGAAAUGCUCCAAACCACUGAAUGGAGUGGACUACUCCUCUGUGUUGGAUGCCCGGCUUGUCUUCCAUCCUAGUGGUGUGGUCUUCCAUUGACGUUGAUGAUUCAUGAGAUGCACUUUAGCAUCUGACCAUCCUCAGUUUGGAUUCCAGUCAUGUGUCUUAGCCUCAAUUUCUUUAUCCUUAAAAGCAAGAGCUUUAAGUGGGAUUCUACAUGUAAAUCUCUUAGCAUCCUCUCUGGGACACAUUAAAUGCUGGGAAAUUGAUGAUGAGUAUGACUGAUUGAAUGGGGCUGGGGUUCUUUGGUGUAGUCCUUGCUGGAUGGCCGCAAGCAAAGGGGAAGGAAUGAGGGGCUUCCCAAAUCUCAUCCACUGGAAAUGUGCUGGCUGUAAUUAUUUGCUGACAGAAAAGUUUACUUUUCAAAGGAAAAAGUGAUCCUUCCUUUCAAGUAUAAAUAAGAUUCUGAAGGUGGGGAAGUGGAUUUUAAAGUAUCGGCUUUGAAGAGUGGUUUCCAAGUAUUUAUUUCUAAAUAAUGAGUUAAAACUCUAAUCACUCAAUGAGUUCUGAAAAGACCUGGAAUGGGGGAGUGCUAUAUAGUUAUUGCUUUAAAAAGCUUUCUUGUCCAAGUAUUUUUGCCUUUAAGGCUUUGUGAAAGCAUCAAACCCUCUCCUCUUCCUUCCCCCCUCCUCUCCCGCCCCCCUUGCUAGCUUUGGAAAUGUUACAGCUCAGCUCUGGGCUGCCCACC